AAUCUUCCACAAUGGACGAAAGUCUGAUGGAGCAACGCCGCGUGAGCGAAGAAGGUUUUCGGAUCGUAAAGCUCUGUUGCGAGGGAAGAACAAGUACGGGAGUAACUGCCUGUACCUUGACGGUACCUCGUCAGAAAGCCACGGCUCACUACGUGCCAGCCGCCGCGGUAAUACGUAGGUGGCAAGCAGUGUCCGGAAUUUGUGGGCGUAAAGCGCGCGCAGGCGGUCCUUUAAGUCUGAUGUGAAAGCCCACGGCUCAACCGUGGAGGGUCAUUGGAAACUGGAGGACUUGAGUACGGAAGAGGAAAGCGGAAUUCCACGUGUAGCGGUGAAAUGCGUAGAGAUGUGGAGGAACACCAGUGGCGAAGGCGGCUUUCUGGUCUGUAACUGACGCUGAGGCGCGAAAGCGUGGGGAGCAAACA
rnacentral:rRNA from 1 species